UCCGUAGGGUGAACCUGCGGAGGGAUCAUUACUGAGUUUUUAACUCUCCAAACCAUGUGAACUUACCACUGUUGCCUCGGUGGUCGGUGCUGGAAACAGUGCUGCCACCGGUGGACUACUAAACUCUUGUUAAUUUUUGUCAAAUCUGAAUCAAACUAAGAAAUAAGUUAAAACUUUCAACAACGGAUCUCUUGGUUCUGGCAUCGAUGAAGAACGCAGCGAAAUGCGAUAAGUAAUGUGAAUUGCAGAAUUCAGUGAAUCAUCGAAUCUUUGAACGCACAUUGCGCCCAUUAGUAUUCUAGUGGGCAUGCCUGUUCGAGCGUCAUUUCAACCCUUAAGCCUAGCUUAGUGUUGGGAGACUGCCUAAUACGCAGCUCCUCAAAACCAGUGGCGGAGUCUGUUCGUGCUCUGAGCGUAGUAAUUUUUUAUCUCGCUUCUGCAAGCCGGCCAGACGACAGCCAUAAACCGCACCCUCUCGGGGGGCACUUUUUUAAUGGUUGACCUCGGAUCAGGUAGGAAUACCCGCUGAACUUAAGCAUAUCAAUAAGGCGGGAGGAA
rnacentral:rRNA from 1 species